UGACUUGCUUGAUACAUGAAAUUAAUUUAUAUCUUGUUUUUUUGACAAAAAAGAAUAUAUAUAUAUAUAUCUCCAUAUCAGGGAGCUAAUUGGCAAUUAUAGAAAUUCUGUUAAAAAGUUUCUCAAGUCCGAGCCAUAACUGCUUUUCCUUCUUGAGCAAAGAGUAGGAAAAAUACAUUAGAACCUGAACCCAACAAGAGUUUGGUAACAGCUGAGUGAAAGCAGAUUACUAAGUAAAAAUAUGAAGCCACGUGUACUUUUUGGUGGGAGCGGAACUCUUAAUUGU
rnacentral:lncRNA from 1 species